GACGAACCGUGCGAACGUUGUUCGGAAUCACUGGGCGUAAAGGGCGUGUAGGCGGUCAGGUAAGUGGGAUGUGAAAGCCCUCGGCUCACCCGAGGAUCUGCAUCUCAAACUGCCUGGCUUGAGUAUGGGAGAGGAUGAGGGAAUUCCUGGUGUAGCGGUGAAAUGCGUAGAUAUCAGGAGGAACACCAGAGGCGAAGGCGGGUUACUGGGCUGAUACUGACGCUGAAUCACGAAAGCUAGGGGAGCAAACGGG
rnacentral:rRNA from 1 species